UACGGAGGGUGCAAGCGUUAUCCGGAUUCACUGGGUUUAAAGGGUGCGUAGGAGGGCAGGUAAGUCAGUGGUGAAAUCUCCAAGCUUAACUUGGAAACUGCCGUUGAUACUAUCUGUCUUGAAUAUUGUGGAGGUGAGCGGAAUAUGUCAUGUAGCGGUGAAAUGCUUAGAUAUGACAUAGAACACCAAUUGCGUAGGCAGCUUACUACACGAUCAUUGACGCUGAGGCACGAAAGCGUGGGGAGCAAACAGG
rnacentral:rRNA from 1 species